GGGGACCAGCCUGGGUGGAAACCUGCUACUGCUGCUGCUGCUUCUGCCGCCCCUGCCUGGGUUGUGGAGAAACAAAUAAGGCAGAUAAACAGGCAAACAUCCAAGAAGAGGGACUGUGGGGUGAGGCGGAAAAGAGAGUUGUCAAACGAGCUUGUUCAUAACCGGAGCCCAGCCUCUCUGGAGCACAGGCUAAGAUGGUGAAGUUCUGUGGCUCCAAGACCCAUGCGAUUUGGAAAGAGGACCCACGCUCCCACAAAGUGAAAUUGCCCCUCUCAGAGGAAACAGAAAGAUGGCCACCUGCUUCCCAAGGAAACAGACACAUCCCCCCCCCCCCAGAGGCUGAUGGGAGGUGAAUGAGCCAGGUACCCUAACAGACUCUCUGAUCUCCAAGCUGAGAGUCCUUUCACAGUUUGAUUGCUGCUACCCACGUGCCAGAAUUCUGCAGGACAAGGUAAUCAACCAUCUGACUCAGAGGUGCCCUGACAGGGCUCCUGGAUGCUCCAGGAGCUUUUCCUCAGGAUCACAAAGCCUUAGAGGUUUGGGGAACCUCCUACGUUUAAUUGUGUGGACUCUGCUGAGUCUUAUGAGCAUGGGAUAGCCCCGAUCCCCCAACCCCCAACACUUGGGUUCAUUUCCUUCUUUCCCUAAAUCCUGGGGAAUGCCUCAGGCAGCAGGGUAAGACAUUCCACUAGACCUGCCUGUUGUUUCAAAUUUAAGCCAAAUUGUUUAAACGGGCUCUAAAGCUCUGUCUUAGCAAGUUCCGACCCGCCAAACGCAUCCAAUUAUCCACUCGAAUCUGUCCACAUUACUCCCUCGAUGUUGGCCACUGCUAGCUCCAAUUGGGAAUGUAGACAACUUUCAUAAAUGAAAGCAAAUGGUUGGAGGCCCCGCCCACAGGUAAACCUUGCCCCGCCCAAACUCAUUUUAACUCGUUUCCUCCCCGCCAGCCACUCAGCUUCCACUUACAACCGGGCCCUAAUGCCCAGUUUCUCCUGGGUCUCCUAGCCGGUGCCCGCCCCCCCAGGGUGGUAUUUUUGUUUGGGGGGCAUUUUUACCUUAAACCUUUAGUCUGGCUUUUGUUUCCACCUCACCAAGCCUGCAUUCUCUUGCUUUUAUUUCUAUUUAUCAGCUACUCAUUAGGCUUUUCACGUUGUCUUCACCCAUCUACAGAACACACAAACUGCUUAUGGAGAUGUAGAUCACUGAGUUCAGUCCGUGUCUUUGGGUGGGGAUAAUACUGGAAAGUUGUCACUAGCUAUUUAACUUUGCUGCAAAGCAUGAUCCGGAAAUGGGAUUUGGCCUGCCUACUUCAGACCCAAGCGUGUUAUUUCAAAGUUUCCCCAAGGCCACCUUCCUAGAUCAAGGUGGCUCCCUGACUCUGUGACAGAGAAAGAAAACAACAAAACACCCCAGGGAAAAAGACAUCAUGGUCUCUUGAGAACCGGUAAGAGGUAAGCUAUUCCCAAUAGAAGCUUCUCUUGUUUACUUCAUAAGAUGUACGUAUUAAAAUGAGCUGAUAGGAUGCUCAGGAAAAGGAUAAAAGAGACCCUUUGUAUAAAAUCUCUUAAUGCACAACAACACAGUUUUAACGGAUCCCUCUCCAAAAUUUUUAGAUGAUGUUCAUAUAAAUUUAGUAAUGAUUAUAAAAAAAAAAACAACUCUACCUGCUAUAUAACUUAUAAAGGCUGUUUUAUAAGCCUUUAUAAGUGUAAGCUCUGCCUGGAAACUUACAAGGCCUAAUGGUUUUACAGUAUGUAAAUUAAAAUUAAAAGAUAAUUAUUAA
rnacentral:lncRNA from 1 species